rnacentral:misc_RNA from 1 species
GAUGAAGAACGCAGCGAAAUGCGAUAAGUAAUGUGAAUUGCAGAAUUCAGUGAAUCAUCGAAUCUUUGAACGCACAUUGCGCCCCUUGGUAUUCCAUGGGGCAUGCCUGUUCGAGCGUCAUUUGUACCUUCAAGCUUUGCUUGGUGUUGGGUGUUUGUCCAUUCUCUUGCAGAGGGACUCGCCUUAAAGUAAUUGGCAGCCAGUGUUUUGGUUUUGAAGCGCAGCACAAGUCGCGAUUCAACGCUAUACGCCAGCUUCCACAAGCCUUUUUCACUUUUGACCUCGGAUCAGGUAGGGAUACCCGCUGAACUUAAGCAUAUCAAUAAGCGGAGGA